rnacentral:rRNA from 1 species
AACGAGCGCUGGCGGCAUGCCUAACACAUGCAAGUCGAACGAGACCUUCGGGUCUAGUGGCGCACGGGUGCGUAACGCGUGGGAACCUGCCCUUAGGUUCGGAAUAACUCCCCGAAAGGGGUGCUAAUACCGGAUAAUGUCUUCGGACCAAAGAUUUAUCGCCUUUGGAUGGGCCCGCGUUGGAUUAGCUAGUUGGUAGGGUAAAAGACUACCAAGGCGACGAUCCAUAGCUGGUCUGAGAGGAUGAUCAGCCACACUGGGACUGAGACACGGCCCAGACUCCUACGGGAGGCAGCAGUGGGGAAUAUUGGACAAUGGGCGAAAGCCUGAUCCAGCAAGGCCGCGUGAGUGAUGAAGUCCUUAGGGUUGUAAAGCUCUUUUACCCGGGAUGAUAAUGACAGUACCGGGAGAAUAAGCUCCGGCUAACUCCGUG